GGAGCUCUCUCUCUCUCUCCCUCACCCUCGUUUGUCUCUUCACAGGGUGAUGAGGGAGCAACGCUGUGGGCGGUAGAGGAGGUGCGUGGCAGUCCAGGAAGCUCUCAUUCUGCUGCUGCGUGCUGCUUCGCUGUCGUCCGGCUUCACCCAAGUCUCCUUCACUCUCUUGCUGUUCGUGUGUGUCAGAGUUGCCUUCCCCUGCCUCCUCUCUCCUCCCCACUCAUUGAUUCCUCUUUCCGCCUGCCUCUCGUGUUCUCCCUCUAUGCCUCUCUGAUCCUUCUCCCUCUUAUUUCUCGUUCUUUCUUGCUCUUCUCGCUUUGCCGUUUCCCUUUUUGCGCCUCUCCUCGUCUUCUUCACCAGCCAGGGUAAGACACAUGCAGCCUACUCUGCACCGCCUGUGAGGUCAAGGCCAGGUCACCCCGCAAUAACUUUUGGGAGAAAAAAAUCCAAGAGAGGAAAACUGUGAUGUGUCCAAUACAGCUCUUCUUGUGCGCCAGAAGUGAUCUUGGGAGGAGCGAGCCGGCCUUUCUGGGGACUCCUGACAGCAUGAUGCAGAGACCAUGUGCACUGGCUGGCACAUGGUAUCAGGAGGCUGGCCUGAAGCCAGGUACAGUGCACAGCGCUACUGGGUCAGGCCUAAGUUACUGACAGAUAGCCCAUCAACUUUUAAAUCUUUAUUUACUGUGCAAAAUCAGCUGAACAGGCUUCUUUCCCAGCCAACUCCCUGUUCACUAUUCCUGCAGAGGCAACCAGGACUACAGCCCACAUACCUGGGGGUAGGACAAGGUAUGUUUUGGACCUCAUGUCUUAGAAGAGUUGCACUGAUGGCCAGACCUAACACACUAAACAUCUAUAUUCAUGUACACACACACACAAUUGAAAUGCUACAUGUCAAUACAUCUCCUGACAGAUUAAGACUGACUACAAGCAAUUGACUUGAAGACAUUAGUAAACACCACAACACACACAGUAAGACAUCACAGAGCAUUUUCCACAAGAUCUUAAAAAGAAAAGAAAAGUCUUAAUGAGCCUAUACCCUCCGGGAAUUUCUGUAAAUAUGAAAUGUUUUCUGUGUGCUUCUAUGACAAGAACCUGACCUACAUGUGACUUUGAGGUUUUGGGGCAUGGUCCCAUAAAAUGUAAUUUUGUAUAUAUUGUUAUUGUUCCAUUCUGAUCCCUCUCGGCCAAAGGCAAAGCUACUUUGGCCGAGAUAAGUUUACAUACAUACAACAUAAGUUUAUUCAAGUAUGGUGUGAAAUAUGUGGGUGAGUGUGUGUAGGCUACAACACAAUAUGGCUUUAAAUUUGCAUGUUGAACCGAUAACCUAAAUAAAAGUUAUAUACAACUGACCAACUGGAA